rnacentral:tRNA from 1 species
GGCGCUGUGGCAUAGCAGGUAAAGCCUCCACCUGCAGUGCCGGCAUUCUAUAAGGGCGCCGGUUCAAGCCCGGCCUGCUCCA